UACAGAGGUCCCAAGCGUUGUUCGGAUUCACUGGGCGUAAAGGGUGCGUAGGCGGUCGGGUAAGUCUGAUGUGAAAUCUCCAAGCCUAACUUGGAAACUGCAUUGGAUACCUAUCCGGCUAGAGGAAUGGAGGGGAGACUGGAAUACUUGGUGUAGCAGUGAAAUGCGUAGAUAUCAAGUGGAACACCAGUGGCGAAGGCGAGUCUCUGGACUUUCCUGACGCUGAGGCACGAAAGCCAGGGGAGCAAACGGG
rnacentral:rRNA from 1 species